ACCUGGUUGAUCCUGCCAGUAGUCAUAUGCU
rnacentral:rRNA from 1 species